AACGCACAUUGCGCCCGCCAGUAUUCUGGCGGGCAUGCCUGUUCGAGCGUCAUUUCAACCCUCAAGCCCUGCUUGGUGUUGGGGAUCGGCGUUGCCUCCUCCGUCGUUCGCGGCGGGGUGAGGUCGCCGCCCCCGAAAUGAAUUGGCGGUCUCGUCGCAGCUUUCCUUUGCGUAGUAACAUACCACCUCGCAACCAGGAGCGCGGCGCGGCCACUGCCGUAAAACGCCCAACUUUUUCAAGAGUUGACCUCGAAUCAGGUAGGAAUACCCGCUGAACUUAA
rnacentral:misc_RNA from 2 species